rnacentral:rRNA from 1 species
GCACAAGCAGCGGAGCGUGUGGUUUAAUUCGAUGCUACACGAAGAACCUUACCUGGGUUUGACAUAGAGGUAGUAGGGAAGCGAAAGCGGACGACCUUCGGGAGCCUCUACAGGUGUUGCAUGGCUGUCGUCAGCUCGUGUCGUGAGAUGUUCGGUUAAGUCCGCUAACGAGCGCAACCCUCGCUGUGUGUUACAAGUGUCACACGGUACUGCCGAUAUUAAGUCGGAGGAAGGUGGGGAUGACGUCAAGUCAGCAUGACCUUUAUAUCCAGGGCUACACACACGCUACAAUGGCCAGUACAAUGGGUUGCCAAGCCGCGAGGCGGAGCCAAUCCUAAAAAGCUGGCCUCAGUUCAGAUUGCAGUCUGCAACUCGACUGCAUGAAGUUGGAGUUGCUAGUAACCGCAGGUCAGCUAUACUGCGGUGAAUACGUUCCCGGGCCUU